CCUACGGGGGGCACCAGUGGGGAAUAUUGCACAAUGGGCGCAAGCCUGAUGCAGCCAUGCCGCGUGUAUGAAGAAGGCCUUCGGGUUGUAAAGUACUUUCAGCGGGGAGGAAGGUGUUGUGGUUAAUAACCGCAGCAAUUGACGUUACCCGCAGAAGAAGCACCGGCUAACUCCGUGCCAGCAGCCGCGGUAAUACGGAGGGUGCAAGCGUUAAUCGGAAUUACUGGCGUAAAGCGCACGCAGGCGGUCUGUCAAGUCGGAUGUGAAAUCCCCGGGCUCAACCUGGGAACUGCAUUCGAAACUGGCAGGCUAGAGUCUUGUAGAGGGGGGUAGAAUUCCAGGUGUAGCGGUGAAUGCGUAGAGAUCUGGAGGAAUACCGGUGGCGAAGGCGGCCCCCUGGACAAAGACUGACGCUCAGGUGCGAAAGCGUGGGGAGCAAAUAGGAUUAGAUACCCUUGUAGUC
rnacentral:rRNA from 1 species